CUAAGACACAUUCCUCAAACACAUUAAACCGUUAAUGACUAACCCAGAGCUGAGAAUUAGGUAGUUGGAGCUCACAUCCAAACCAGGCAGGGAAGGGUUAAUCGUUCAGCUUUUUGGAGCAGCUCUAGAAUCAAAAUGGGUUGGAGCCAAGGCUGGGGAGAUGCGACCAACUGCUGAGACCAAGAAGGAUUCCAGAGGACGGACCAGCAGGCCAUCCUCUGGUGCGGACCUUGUCAGAGACAGAAAGGAGAAGGCCAUGAUGCACUUGCCUGGGUGGGGAGAUAUAACAUAAGAGAAGGAGACGGUUCUCUGAGAUUGAAGACCACAUGGCCUAGGUGCUAAAGAGAGAAUGACAAAAAGAAAAUUCAUCCAUGGACAAGUUACCAGGCAGUUUCCAGGCAGACUCAUCUAUAGUCCUGGUCCAUCUACCAAAUGAACUGCAAUAUAAGAAAAGGCGCAUCACCUGCUGGUUGUGUGACUGUGGAUGUGCAGUCUCCAGGUGUGAGUCCCCAAGAUUCGUUUCCAAACUUAGCACUUCCGGUACUGGGUUCAACAGCUGAAGAUUACUCAUAAAGAUACAAACAUCAAGAAUAGCUGGGAGGAUUUAUUUUCAAUUAAAUUCAACAAAGCUGUAUUAAGAGUCUUCUAUGCCUGAGUAUGUGCUAAACCCUUGGGAAUUGAAGGAGAAUAGAAACUAUGAUGAAGGCUGCAGCAUAUAGUAUCAUUGUUUAGAGAAAGAAUGUAAUGGAGCAGUUAAGAGCAAAUCUUGCAGCUAGAUGUCCUGGCUUCAAAUCCAUCUCUAUCACUUAGUAGCUAUUUAACAUUAACUCAUGU
rnacentral:lncRNA from 1 species